GCUAUUCACUGGUCUCACUUUCCUGAAAGUACAAGGAGUACUUGUAAUGCCAGACUGUCUCCCUUCAAUUGUCCUCAUACUCUCUUUCAGGUCCAAUGUUCCUCAGGAGCCUUUGGGUACUCUUAUUAGGAUGGUACCCUUCCCAAAUGACUUCCAUGUCCACUUGCAGGACACAUCAUGUUCUCCGUUCUAGACAAGACUUCAUGAGUCUACUGUUAGUGUGUCUUUGUGAAGAGUCUCUAGCAAGGCCCAUCCAUACAGCAAUUAGUCCACUCUAUGUUAAAUGGAGGUUCCUUCUCUUGAAGAUAGGCUACGGUAAUGGAUACAAUACCUUCCAUUCUACCUCACGCCUCCCAUCCCAGGUAUUCAGAAAACUCAAACUGCUGGAACACUUAUUUAUUUGGUCUAAUAAAUCAAGAUCUGCAAAAAACAAACAAACAAAAAAACCCACAAUAACCUCUAAACAUAAGAUAAGAAACCUCUAACAUUAACAUUCUUCAAUUUUGAGUAAGCUCUGCAGUACGGAAAAUAUACAAACUUCAAAUAGCUGCAAAAAUAGUGUCUUUGGGUGAAAAUAGAGUUUCUACAUCAAUACAAGAAAAAUAGGCAUUUUUCUAAUUCAAUCCAACCCUGGGGUGGGUAGAGGAUAUGGAGCUGCUAUGUGUCCCCUGGGGCAGGUGGAGGGUAUGUGGCUGCUACAUGCCCCCUGGAGGAGUGCCAGAUCCUUCUUCCCACUCUUCAUUUUGGGCCGGGAUGCUGCUUAAGACAAUCUUCAGUCAGGG
rnacentral:lncRNA from 1 species